GAAUUUGUAGACAUCCUGGCAGCUUACAAUUAGUUCGAGGUGAGGGUGCUGACCCAAAUCUGUGUGGACCAGAACGUACCAAAGAGAACUACAACUCUGCUGUUGAUCGCCUCCAGAUUGACAAUACACCAGACGUCGAAGGAGUGAAGUUCAGACACUGAAUUUGAGCAGAAACCAUAAGGAUACUCAAAGGACCUGUGACUCUCAGGAAAUGCAUCAAAUGAGAGGGACAGAUGAAACAGUUUCAAGACAAUGGCAGGAAAAACAUGCUGAAGAUUGAAACAAACCUUGGCUGGAAAUAUUUGAAGGUAUCUAGCCAGUCCACAAUGAAAGCUUCGUUGCACCCCAUGAGUCUUCUGGCAGAAAUGAUGGCGCCUGUAUUCUUUGGUUUCC